UACGUAGGUGGCAAGCGUUGUCCGGAUUUACUGGGCGUAAAGAGCGCGCAGGCGGUCGUUCAAGUCGCGUGUGAAAGCCCCCGGCUCAACUGGGGAGGGUCACGCGAUACUGAUCGACUCGAAGGCAGGAGAGGGAAGUGGAAUUCCCGGUGUAGUGGUGAAAUGCGUAGAUAUCGGGAGGAACACCUGUGGCGAAGGCGGCUUUCUGGGCCUUACCUGACGCUGAGACGCGAAACGUGGGGA
rnacentral:rRNA from 1 species